AGCGAACGCUGGCGGCAGGCCUAAUACAUGCAAGUCGAGCGCACCUUCGGGUGAGCGGCGGACGGGUGAGCAACGCGUGGGAACGUGCCCUUUGGUACGGGAUAACUGAGGGAAACUUCAGCUAAUACCGUAUGUGCCCUACGGGGGAAAGAUUUAUCGCCAUUGGAGCGGCCCGCGUUGGAUUAGGUAGUUGGUGAGGUAAGGGCUCACCAAGCCUACGAUCCAUAGCUGGUCUGAGAGGAUGAUCAGCCACACUGGGACUGAGACACGGCCCAGACUCCUACGGGAGGCAGCAGUAGGGAAUCUUGCGCAAUGGGCGAAAGCCUGACGCAGCCAUGCCGCGUGUAUGAUGAAGGUCUUAGGAUUGUAAAAUACUUUCACCGGGGAAGAUAAUGACGGUACCCGGAGAAGAAGCCCCGGCUAACUUCGUGCCAGCCGCCGCCGUAAGAC
rnacentral:rRNA from 1 species